GGCUCAGUCGGGAGACCUUGAAACUCUUAAAUCUCAAGGUCGCGGGUUCGAACCCCACGUGGCA